rnacentral:rRNA from 1 species
GGAUUAAGAGCUUGCUCUUAUGAAGUUAGCGGCGGACGGGUGAGUAACACGUGGGUAACCUGCCCAUAAGACUGGGAUAACUCCGGGAAACCGGGGCUAAUACCGGAUAACAUUUUGAACCGCAUGGUUCGAAAUUGAAAGGCGGCUUCGGCUGUCACUUAUGGAUGGACCCGCGUCGCAUUAGCUAGUUGGUGAGGUAACGGCUCACCAAGGCAACGAUGCGUAGCCGACCUGAGAGGGUGAUCGGCCACACUGGGACUGAGACACGGCCCAGACUCCUACGGGAGGCAGCAGUAGGGAAUCUUCCGCAAUGGACGAAAGUCUGACGGAGCAACGCCGCGUGAGUGAUGAAGGCUUUCGGGUCGUAAAACUCUGUUGUUAGGGAAGAACAAGUGCUAGUUGAAUAAGCUGGCACCUUGACGGUACCUAACCAGAAAGCCACGGCUAACUACGUGCCAGCAGCCGCGGUAAUACGUAGGUGGCAAGCGUUAUCCGGAAUUAUUGGGCGUAAAGCGCGCGCAGGUGGUUUCUUAAGUCUGAUGUGAAAGCCCACGGCUCAACCGUGGAGGGUCAUUGGAAACUGGGAGACUUGAGUGCAGAAGAGGAAAGUGGAAUUCCAUGUGUAGCGGUGAAAUGCGUAGAGAUAUGGAGGAACACCAGUGGCGAAGGCGACUUUCUGGUCUGUAACUGACACUGAGGCGCGAAAGCGUGGGGAGCAAACAGGAUUAGAUACCCCUGGUAGUCCACGCCGU